CCUGUAGCGAUCGGAAACGAAUCCUCGGUGGCACUCGCCGCAGAAGACCAGGCCGUCAGGUUCAUCGGGGCCUGGUGCAUCUCCGUCAGAGGAGUGGAUCUGAGAGAUGGACGACGGCGGCUAGGCAGUGGAUCUUGGUCAGUGAAUCAUAGCCGUCCGAUUCGUUUGAUCGCUUAGCUGGGGUUAUAUAUACCGAACGGCUUCAUUGGCGUGUUAGGGUGGAGAGAGGGAUCGAGGAGUAGGCGAUGUUUCGCCGUGGGAGGUUCUUGUCGUUCCCUUUGGUGAUCGGCGCGGUAAUAAUAGGAGUGGUCUCUGGGAAGGCCAUUUUUGGGCGUCCUCUCGAGGAGUACUGGACAAAGAAGUUGCAGGAAGAGGCAGCCAAGAAGGGUGAUGCCAGCACCAGUUAGCAGCAAGCACCAGUUUGAUUAUUUGCUCCUGUUUUUACUUGAGGAAACUGUAGAAUUUAUGGCGUUCUAAGGUCAGUAGCUUCUCUUGGCAGUCAAAUGGCGUUGUAAUGAAGUUUGCAACUCUAAUAGGAUGCCAGCUUUUCCAAACAAUGUAAUUGGUUGGUUCUAAACUCGAAGAAGACAUGGAAGACUUUGGGCAUAAAACUGCAGCACUUAAGUUGCUAUGUUGUUAUUUCAGCCCAAUACAGUUUUAUAUGGAAUUAUGUAUGAGGGAUUGUAGGCGAAGAACUAAUUAAACACGUCCACAGAUACAUUGUAUCAUUUGGAGAGAAGUAAUAAAUGAAUUUGAGUCUAAUGUAA